rnacentral:rRNA from 1 species
UACGAAGGGGGCUAGCGUUGUUCGGAUUUACUGGGCGUAAAGCGCACGUAGGCGGAUCGUUAAGUCGGGGGUGAAAUCCUGGAGCUCAACUCCAGAACUGCCUUCGAUACUGGCGAUCUCGAGUCCGGAAGAGGUGAGUGGAGCUCCUAGUGUAGAGGUGGAAUUCGUAGAUAUUAGGAAGAACACCAGUGGCGAAGGCGGCUCACUGGUCCGGUACUGACGCUGAGGUGCGAAAGCGUGGGGAGCAAACAGG